UCAGAUGACAUGUUCUUCAGCCCAGAG
rnacentral:piRNA from 1 species